GCCGCCGGCCCCCGCGGCUGCAGCUGCCCCCGGGGGAUGCGGGAUGCGGGAUGCAGGCUGGCCGGUUGCCGUGGCGACCGGCGGGCGCCGGCAGCCCCUGCCUGCCCGCUCCCAUCUAGGCGGGAGGGUGGCUCGGUGCCCGCGUUCGAGGCUGGGAGAGGCUCGUAGGGCUCCGCAGGGCUGAGGCGGGGCGCGCUCCCCGGCCACGCGCGCCUGGGUUGCGGCUCCGCAUCCCCGCCAUCCAUCCCAGCGGCUCUACCCGCAGCUUUGCCGGGGCAGCCCCUCUCUCCAGCCCGCAGAGCCUCGCCGGGAGUCGGGCCUGCACUCCGACACCUGGGCGGGAGCUGAGCAUCCUCUGAAAUGCGUCAAAUAAACAUCUGCGCGCUCUGCGGGAACUACACCUUUCUUUCUAGCCGGCGUGUGCGGAAGGUCAUGGCUUAGCCUACCAGCCUGUGCCUUGAGGAGCGUGCGAACCCCAGUGUCCCCCCAACAAACCAGCCCCGUGAGAGAGAACAGCUGCCCUACCGGCUCAGACCUUCCUCCUCACACCCCAAGUGCUUUCUAUCCAGCAAAACUCCUGCUUUCUUUGGUGGGAAAACGAUAAGGAGGAGGGACUGUGAUGGUGUGUGAAGUAUUUUAAACUUAGAAAAGAUUAAUCAGAGAUCACUUGGACCUGUGGAAGAUUAAAGAUAAUUCUGCCCUACCCUGAAAUACAAGAGUUUGGAAAGAAGAGUGAAUACACAUGAAGAGGCAGCAUGAAAAUUUGAAUUAUAAAAGCUCUCAUUCUUCCAUCAGACUCUACGGAAAAGGCUUCUGGGCAAAGGAAGCGAGAAGUAAGUGUGGAGUUAAACUUUAUAUAGCAAGAGUUUCAACUUGGCCAAACAGUUCAACAUCAGACAACUCAUGCCUCCUACCUUUCCCUCUGUAACCCAGAGGAUUGCCAUGGUCUUCAUCUAUGGAAGGAGAGCCUAAAAGUGCAACAGCAGUACGUUCAACGGCUUGAAUACUGAAGUCAGGAUUGUACCAUCUAACCAUAAUAUAGUUGGAACAUGCAAAAUGGGCAAAACCAAACUCUCUGAAGCUGAAUCUAGGAAGAUACUGACCUUGUCAUAUAUGUGUAUGAAAUGUAGGUCUCUCAAAGUUACAAAUGCAUUACACGUAUUUGGGGCCAUAAACUGCUUUAAAAUCUGUUGUGGCCUUUGACUGCGAAAAAGAUGUCUCAUUAUGAGAAAACAGGGGCAUCAUGACAUCUACAGCUGUCAGAUGCUUGUGAUGCAAAGUCAAGAAAGGUCAGUGAGACCUAACUACAGCUCUGUGAGCCAGAAAAUAGAUUGUGAUUUGCAUAUCCUCUCUGGUGUUAAGCAUGUAAAUAAAUGGGUUGAAGUACUAGAAACAUUCCUGGAACAGCUAAAAUUGUGCAAGUUUUCAACCUAAUGUGCUCUCUUUAAAAAAAGACAAAUAGAUUUUCAUGCCACUAUUCCACAUUUUAAUAUAUGACUCCUCUGUGACAGAUCCCUAGAUUUGUUAAGUACAGUGCAAAGUAACGAGAAGCACAAAGGGCCAGAUUAAAUAGAAGUUUAUUUAAUAGUGUUGAUUUGCAGAUUCUGUUCUGCCACAGACAGAUCAGUCUGAAAUUAUUUCCCUGGUUUCAGGGGAAUGUUGACAGUUUUACAAUGCAAUAGUGGCAAAAUUCAAGUCAGAGCCUUCUUUUUAUACAUUCAUGUAAUACGUAUACAGACUAAACAUGACAAAAUGUUUCCCUUUUCUUCUUCGUGCUGCCCUUGGACUUCCUGAGAUGUGGUUUGACUCUGUUAGUCAACAGUACUUGCUUUUAGCCAACUUUAAAGACCAGAAGACAUAAAUGAUAAAAUGUUCUGAAUUAAGAGAGCAAGUUAGCUCUGGAACAUAGUUUGGUUUCCUGUUUACUAUGCUUUUUCCUGUACGAUAGUAAGUAGGAACUUAUUUCAAGGAAGGUAAGCCCUGGGCUCCAAAAGCUCUUCAAAAGGAUAUAGGACAUUAGUCCCCAUAUUCUCUUGUCCCUGCAGACACUACUUCAUAUCAUCGCAAGCAUAGAGCUUGUGCAAUCUUUCCAACAUGAAUUAGGAGACUAUCACCUAUAACUUACUUCCACAUCUCUCUCUGCUAUGUGAUUGACCACUGGGCUGAGUUCCUGGAUUUGAUGCUAAAAUUGCAAAUUAGCAGUAAAGUCAACUUGUAAGUAGACUUGUGGUAGUCAGUCAUUUUCUUGGAGUUUUGUCUUGGGAUAUUCUUCAAGACAGCAUUUUGCUAUAAGCUGACCGAUUAAAUUGCAUAUUGAGUGAUGCCCUUUUAUAUUUCACUACUAGUGUUAAUCAGUGUGAAAUCAAUGCCUAGAUAGUUAUUGGCAUAUACUAUCUGGAGAUAUAAUCAGAGGCAACAUAGCAUUCACCUUCCGGCUUGCUAAGAGUAGACAGUAAUUGCCUCUAAAUCAUGACGUGAAAAUCCAAUGCUAAGUGAAUAUUGAACCACACAAAGCUCUUAUUACAGCAAUAGGCACACAAGCACACAGCCUUGUAGGCUUGAGGGAGAGAACUGUUAUCCAAAUGUAUGUCUUUUAAGGCUUUUGGAAAUUGCUCUUACACUAAAUGGAAAAUCUAUCAGAAAGACAAAGUUUUUCCCAAGAUGUAUUUUUGAAAAAGGAUUUAAAAGAACGGCAUUGCGAAGUUCUGUGUUUGGAUUUCAGUAGCUUCAGUCUACAAAUAAAAAAUCUUGGGUGAAAUAUAAUAACCAAGGCUACAGAUUCAUCUGGUUUCUGUUAGUUUGGAUUCUUCACUAUUUAUGGUGUACUGUAGGGUAAGCAGAAAGGAAAAAGAUGAAAAUGUUUAGGAGAUUGUCAUGAUGAUGAUGGUGCUUUAAAGAACAAUGAUUAUUUAUAGGGAUACAUUCUGAAUGUAUUUAGUUGGCUUGAUUUUAAACAUACUUAGCAGAAGCCUUACUUUCAGUACUACUGUAAGCCUUCCAGAUUUCAGCAGUACAUUGACUGGACCUAUGCAACUCUUUUCCCUCACAUUGUGUUGCCACAGUUGCAGCCAGCAGAACUGAUUUUGAGUCUCAUUGAUAUGAAAAGAGCAGGAGGUUUCUACCAUAUCCCUUUUUUUUCAUUUUGCUUUUUCUCUGCUUUGACCUGUAAGAGCUUGGAUUGCUGCACAUAAGCUGUACUGGUUUGCCCGUUUUAUGGAGGGUUUUUUUUCUGGGCUUGUAAGGAACAGCAAG